CGUAUUUGCUUUAUAUAUAAACAGAUCAGCAAUUUAGAGCUAAGCUCUUCAUCGAUUUCAACGAAAUAUUUAGUUUUAGAUUCAUCUUUGGGUUAAUCCGGUCAAUGCAUUCGAAAUGGGUAGAACAAAAAUAAACGUAGUUUUGUUAAUGAUCUUCAAACUAUUCUUGGUGGGCACAACAACAGGAGAAGAGACGUGUGAGCACGAUCGACAAAUGGAAGAACUGUGCCGCAGUCAUACCUAUAAAAGUGUGAAGCCUUUGCUAGAUUAUUUUAGGCAAGUUCGAAAUGAGUUAGACCAAAGUGCAAUUAAGGAAAAGCAAAUAAGUGAGAUAAAUUCUGAUGUUAUGAACAAGUAUCAUGAAAUUGUAAAAAUUCAUGAAAAGCAAAUAAGUGAAAUAAAUUCUGAUCUUAUGAACAAGUAUCAUGAAAUUGUAGGAAUUCAUGAAAAGCUGAUGAAGGAGGCAUUUCAAUUAGAUGACUAUAAAAACAAAAUAUUAAGAACAGAAAACGAUUUGCAAUUGUGUCAAAGUAAAGUUGAAAAAUUAGAAUCUGAGAUUAAUUCACAACAAACAACUAUUAACAAAUUAACACUACAUGCAAAUUUUCUUGCGAGUUAUGAUAAAUGUAAAGAAGAACUAUCAGAUAAAUCCGACAAUUUGGAAAUUUGUGAAGUUCAAUCAAAAAAACUUAAUUCUAGUAUUAUUGAAAAAGAUAUGAAAAUUUCUAGAUACUCUGCGACAAUUCAAAAUAUGACAGAACAUCAGAAUACAGUUGAGUUGAAAUUGGAAGCGAGUCAAACCAAGUUAAUUAAAAAAGAUAAAGACAUUGAAAUAUGCCAUGCAGAAAAUAUUAAAUUAAAUAGGACAUCACACCUAAAUAUUCCUUCAAGUUGUCUCCCUUUCGGGGAACAUUCUGGUGUGCAUGAAAUUAAAGUUUCUGGUGUUGGUUUCUUCGAUGUUCUAUGCGAUAGUCAGUUAGCUGGGCCUGGUUGAAUAGUAAUACAACAGCGAAUUGGUGGAAAAGAAAACUUUACCAGGGAUUGGGCCACAUAUCGCAAAGGUUUCGGUUCAUUGGAUAGUGACUUUUUUCUAGGAUUAGAAAAGAUGUAUCGAAUAACGAGCUUGCAGCAAUACGAACUCUACAUACAUUUGGUUGUCUUAAAUGGCAGCAUCUUCUACGCCCGAUACGAUGACUUCAAAAUAUCUGAUGAAGACCAUGGAUACGCACUUAGUUUGGGAAAAUUCAAGGGAAAUAUUGAGGAUGCGAUGAGAGUCAGCGAAAACAUGAAAUUCACAACGUUCGAUCGGGAUAACGACCAUCAUGCUAAUAAAAAUUGUGCAGUCGUAUAUAAUAGUGGCUGGUGGUACCAGAAAUGUUCUAAUUGUAUCUUAAAUGCAUUAUACGGCGUGUAUCUAAAUUGGUGGACUGAAAUAAGAAAUCAACUUAAAGAAGCUAAGAUGCUCAUUCGCCCCAAAGAAAAAAUUAUCUAUUGAUCGACUGAAAAGCUCAAAUCCAAAAUG